UGAGGAAUAUUGGGCAAUGCCCGCAAGGGUGACCCAGCAACGCCGCGUGGAGGAUGAAUGUCGUAAGAUUGUAAACUCCUGUUAGAGGGGAAGAAUAGUACCGGUUGGACCGGUAUAUGACUGUACCCUCAGAGAAAGCCCCGGCUAACUACGUGCCAGCAGCCGCGGUAAUACGUAGGGGGCAAGCGUUGUCCGGAUUUACUGGGUGUAAAGGGCGCGCAGGCGGGAUAAUAAGUCAGUGGUGAAAUCCUACAGCUUAACUGUAGAACUGCCUUUGAUACGUUUAUGCUUGAGUUCGGGAGAGAGAGACGGGAUUCCGGGUGUAGUGGUGAAAUACGUAGAUAUCUGGAAGAACACCAGGUGCGAAGGCGGUCUCUUGGUCCGACACUGACGCUGAGGAGCGAAAGCGUGGGGAGCAAACA
rnacentral:rRNA from 1 species